rnacentral:rRNA from 1 species
UACAGAGGAUGCAAGUUUUAUUCGGAAUUAUUGGGCGUAAAGCGUCUGCAGGUUGAUGUAAAAGUCUUUUGUUAAAUAUCAGGGCUCAACCCGGAAUCUGCAAAAGAAACUAUAUAUCUUGAGUAUGGUAGAGGUAAGGGGAAUUUCCAGUGGAGCGGUGAAAUGCGUAGAUAUUGGAAAGAACACCGACAGCGAAGGCACCUUACUGGGCCAUUACUGACACUCAGAGACGAAAGCUAGGGGAGCAAACGGGAUUAGAUACCCCGGUAGUCCUAGCCGUAAACGAUGGAUACUAGAUGUUGUAUACUUAGUACAGUGUCGUAGCUAACGCGUUAAGUAUCCCGCCUGGGAAGUAUGCUCGCAAGGGUG